GAUGAACGCUGACAGAAUGCUUAACACAUGCAAGUCAACUUGAAUUUGGGUUUUUAACUUAGGUUUGGGUGGCGGACGGGUGAGUAACGCGUAAAGAACUUGCCUCACAGCUAGGGACAACAUUUGGAAACGAAUGCUAAUACCUAAUAUUAUGAUAAUAGGGCAUCCUAUAAUUAUGAAAGCUAUAAGCGCUGUGAGAGAGCUUUGCGUCCCAUUAGCUAGUUGGAGAGGUAACGGCUCACCAAGGCGAUGAUGGGUAGCCGGCCUGAGAGGGUGAUCGGCCACAAGGGGACUGAGACACGGCCCUUACUCCUACGGGAGGCAGCAGUGGGGAAUAUUGGACAAUGGACCAAGAGUCUGAUCCAGCAAUUCUGUGUGCACGAUGAAGUUUUUCGGAAUGUAAAGUGCUUUCAGUUGGGAAGAAAGAAAUGACGGUACCAACAGAAGAAGUGACGGCUAAAUACGUGCCAGCAGCCGCGGUAAUACGUAUGUCACGAGCGUUAUCCGGAUUUAUUGGGCGUAAAGCGCGUCUAGGUGGUUAUAUAAGUCUGAUGUGAAAAUGCAGGGCUCAACUCUGUAUUGCGUUGGAAACUGUAUAACUAGAGUACUGGAGAGGUAAGCGGAACUACAAGUGUAGAGGUGAAAUUCGUAGAUAUUUGUAGGAAUGCCGAUGGGGAAGCCAGCUUACUGGACAGAUACUGACGCUGAAGCGCGAAAGCGUGGGUAGCAAACAGG
rnacentral:rRNA from 1 species